rnacentral:rRNA from 1 species
AGAGUUUGAUCAUGGCUCAGAACGAACGCUGGCGGCGUGGAUAAGACAUGCAAGUCGGACGGGAUUUGAAUUGUAGCAAUAUGAGACAAGUCUAGUGGCGAAUGGGUGCGUAACACGUGGGCAAUCUACCGGAAAGUGGGGGAUAACUCGUCGAAAGGCGAACUAAUACCGCAUGUGGCCAGGGAGGACAUCCUUCCAAAGCUAAAGUUGGGGCAACCUAACGCUUUCUGAUGAGCCCGCGGCCUAUCAGCUUGUUGGUCGGGGUAACGGCCCACCAAGGCUAUGACGGGUAGCUGGUCUGAGAGGACGACCAGCCACACUGGAACUGAGACACGGUCCAGACACCUACGGGUGGCAGCAGUCGAGAAUUUUUCUCAAUGGGGGAAACCCUGAAGGAGCGACGCCGCGUGGAGGAUGAAGGUUUUCGGAUUGUAAACUCCUGUCAUUGGGGAACAAUUGUAAGGGGAGUAACUGCCCUUUGCUUGAUAGUACCCGAAGAGGAAGGGACGGCUAACUCUGUGCCAGCAGCCGCGGUAAUACAGAGGUCCCAAGCGUUGUUCGGAUUCAUUGGGCGUAAAGGGUGCGUAGGCGGUGAUGUAAGUUGGAUGUGAAAUCCCAGGGCUCAACCCUGGAACUGCAUUCAAUACUGCGUUGCUAGAGUACUGGAGAGGAGAUUGGAAUUCACGGUGUAGCAGUGAAAUGCGUAGAUAUCGUGAGGAAGACCAGUGGCGAAGGCGAAUCUCUGGACAGUAACUGACGCUGAGGCACGAAGGCCAGGGGAGCAAACGGGAUUAGAUACCCCGGUAGUCCUGGCAGUAAACGGUGCACGUUUAGUAUGGGAGGAUUCGACCCCUUCCGUGCUGGAGCUAACGCGUUAAACGUGCCGCCUGGGGAGUACGGUCGCAAGAUUAAAACUCAAAGAAAUUGACGGGGGCCCGCACAAGCGGUGGAGUAUGUGGCUUAAUUCGAUG